rnacentral:lncRNA from 1 species
AACAUAACAAUUAGAGGGGAAACAUUCGUUUCAGCUUCUCCAAAAUUCCAAUCGCAAUUUUAGGGUUUCUCAAAUAUUCAAUCGCGGUUUCUAAGCUGCCAAACACCGCCGACGGAGCUUCGGCAACUUUGACGGCGGUGGACUAGUGCCAAAAUGUGCGCCAAGCCUCCGUGAACCUAACCCAACAAAAAUCCCCAAAAAAUACUGCCUCAAACACCGAAAAUUUGCAUUUGAAUGCAUCGCCACCAUUUGCGAUUUUUGGUAGUGGCAGCGCCGCCGCAGCUCACCGUCAAAUAGGGAAAACUCAACACCAAACGGGGCAUCUCUUUCAGGCGACCAAACCCCAGCAAGAAGAUCCAAAAAAUAUGGCGUCAAUUGACGCCAAUUUGAGAUCGAAAAUUUCGCUGGCGGAGCUCCAAAUCCAACAAUUUCAACGCCAAUCGAAUUCAAAUGAGGUCAGGAACAUAAAUUUCACAAAAGCUCCUUUGAUUUCUUCACAGAACGUGUCCAAUUUUGAAAUUAGAGUUUCAAAACCCCAAUUUCACUACGACAACGUUCCGACUGCUGUAAAUCAAAAUUGGUCAGUAGAUAUGGUUCAAAAUGUCUCAAGAAAUGUAUCCCUUAUGAAUUCCAGGGCCGAUUCAUCACAGAACUCAACCAAUUUGAAUUUCUAUAAAUCAAAGUAUGUUAAAGUUGAUGAAAAUGCAGUGCAUUCAGUUGGGGACCCUAAAGGUUACUCUUCUUUAUCUCCUAAAAACAUUCUUGGUGCUGAAAAAUCUAUUGUUGAACCCCAAAAAUUGAUGUACUUCAAAUUGAUGUUUUUUUGUCUUUGUUCAGAUUUGAACCUUGGUUCACUUCAUUGAUCACUAG